rnacentral:rRNA from 1 species
GUGCCAGCCGCUGCGGUAAUACGAAGGGGGCUAGCGUUGUUCGGAAUUACUGGGCGUAAAGCGCACGUAGGCGGAUACUUAAGUCAGGGGUGAAAUCCCGAGGCUCAACCUCGGAACUGCCUUUGAUACUGGGUAUCUUGAGUCCGGAAGAGGUGAGUGGAAUUCCGAGUGUAGAGGUGAAAUUCGUAGAUAUUCGGAGGAACACCAGUGGCGAAGGCGGCUCACUGGUCCGGUACUGACGCUGAGGUGCGAAAGCGUGGGAGCAAACAGGAUUAGAUACCCUGGUAGUCCACGCCGUAAACUAUGAGAGCUAGCCGUCGGUAAGUUUACUUAUCGGUGGCGCAGCUAACGCAUUAAGCUCUCCGCUGGGGAUACGGUCGCAAGAUUAAAACUCAAAGGAUUGGACGGGGCCCGCGACAAGCGGUGGAGC